UACGUAGGGUGCAAGCGUUGUCCGGAAUUAUUGGGCGUAAAGAGCUUGUAGGCGGUUUGUCGCGUCUGCUGUGAAAUUUCGGGGCUCAACCCCGAACUUGCAGUGGGUACGGGCAGACUAGAGUGUGGUAGGGGAGACUGGAAUUCCUGGUGUAGCGGUGGAAUGCGCAGAUAUCAGGAGGAACACCGGUGGCGAAGGCGGCACUCUGGGCCGAUACUGACACUGAGGAGCGAAAGCGUGGGGAGCGAACAGG
rnacentral:rRNA from 1 species